rnacentral:rRNA from 1 species
GAUGAACGCUAGCUACAGGCUUAACACAUGCAAGUCGAGGGGAAACGACAUCGAAAGCUUGCUUUUGAUGGGCGUCGACCGGCGCACGGGUGAGUAACGCGUAUCCAACCUGCCCAUCACUUGGGAAUAACCUUGCGAAAGUAAGACUAAUACCCAAUGACAUCCCACGAAGACAUCUGAAUGGGAUUAAAGAUUUAUCGGUGAUGGAUGGGGAUGCGUCUGAUUAGCUUGUUGGCGGGGUAACGGCCCACCAAGGCAACGAUCAGUAGGGGUUCUGAGAGGAAGGUCCCCCACAUUGGAACUGAGACACGGUCCAAACUCCUACGGGCGGCAGCAGUGAGGAAUAUUGGUCAAUGGGCGAGAGCCUGAACCAGCCAAGUAGCGUGCAGGAUGACGGCCCUAUGGGUUGUAAACUGCUUUUAUAAGGGAAUAAAGUGGGUCUCGUGAGACUUUUUGCAUGUACCUUAUGAAUAAGGACCGGCUAAUUCCGUG